rnacentral:lncRNA from 1 species
UAUUGACCUAAUUCACACUAUACGCCGGUUAAUUGGCCACAAUGUCCAAUUCAACUCCAAAUAAAUUCAUUUCACUUCCAAUACUCCAAAUCAUCAAAUAUAAGCUAGAUAACAUGAAUUAUAGCAAAAUCAUCCUCAACAUUUUCUCUUGGAAAAAUUCGACCAUGGAGGGUUCAUGAAUAAUAUGUGGUUUUUCAUGCUUGAUUUUUACACUUUACAUCAUAAAACAACUAAAAAUACCUAAAUAGCAUGAAAUUCAUCAAAGUCCAUUUUCCAAUUUCUCUCUUGAAAAAUUCAGCCAA